rnacentral:lncRNA from 1 species
AAUCUAGCUCAGCGUUUACCACUUGAUGGUGCAAUUAUCAACAAUAAAUACCAAUACAAACAGUACAAAUCCUGUUUAAGUACUCUUCUAACAAAUGUCUAUCAUGACGCUGUUUCUGGAUGGCUUAUGGUAGCUUCAUUGUUUUACAAAACAAAGCAAUACAGAAAAGCUUUACACAUCAUUAGGUAUUCUAUAUCGAAAUGUACUUUCGACAAACUGUUCUUUGGAAUUGACUCUGUCAGAUAUCCAUUACCAGUCACUUAAACACGCUGUCAUUCAACAAGACACAGUGUGGCUUAUCUUCUGAAAAUACUAUUCGUAGAUCUGAUACAAUUAACAGAGAAUUCAACGUUAACACCAGAAGAACUUUUAAUGGAGGGAUGUAAUAACAUAUAUUAUAUUCCAUCCACAGCGUAUGCUUAUUUCCUUAGUGUUCUUUGUCAUUAUCACCUCAAUAAUGUUAGACAUUGUCAGGAUUCUAUUCAAGAUUUAAAAAUUGUUAUAGGAGAAAGAUAUUUGAUGGCAGAUUUUAAGGAGUACAGCGGAGGCCUACACUUUAUUGGGAAUUGCUUUACAAUUAUUUGGCGACAAGGAAUCCGCACGACAAGCUUUCUUACAGUCUUUGAAAAUCUACCCGGAUGAAUCGAAGAAUUCUGCCGCA